rnacentral:rRNA from 1 species
GACGAACGCUGGCGGCGUGCUUAACACAUGCAAGUCGAGCGGUAAGGCCCUUUCGGGGGUACACGAGCGGCGAACGGGUGAGUAACACGUGGGUGACCUGCCCUUAGCUCUGGGAUAAGCCUGGGAAACUGGGUCUAAUACCGGAUAUGACUCCAUGACGCAUGUUGUGGGGUGGAAAGCCUUGUGCGGCUAGGGAUGGGCCCGCGGCCUAUCAGCUUGUUGGUGGGGUGAUGGCCACCAAGGCGACGACGGGUAGCCGGCCUGAGAGGGCGACCGGCCACACUGGGACUGAGACACGGCCCAGACUCCUACGGGAGGCAGCAGUGGGGAAUCUUGCGCAAUGGGCGAAAGCCUGACGC